UACGGGGGGGGCAAGCGUUAAUCGGAUUUACUGGGCGUAAAGCGUGCGUAGGCGGUUCAUUAAGUCGGUUGUGAAAUCCCUGGGCUUAACCUGGGAACUGCAGUCGAUACUGAUGGACUAGAGUACGUAAGAGGGUCGCGGAAUUCCCGGUGUAGAGGUGAAAUUCGUAGAUAUCGGGAGGAACACCGGUGGCGAAGGCGGCGACCUGGGACGAUACUGACGCUGAGGUGCGAAAGCGUGGGGAGCAAACAGG
rnacentral:rRNA from 1 species